rnacentral:rRNA from 1 species
UACGGGGGGCAAGCGUUGUUCGGAAUUACUGGGCGUAAAGGGCUCGUAGGCGGCCAACUAAGUCGGAUGUGAAAUCCCCAGGCUUAACCUGGGAACUGCAUCCGAUACUGGAUGGCUUGAAUCCGGGAGAGGGAUGCAGAAUUCCAGGUGUAGCGGUGAAAUGCGUAGAUAUCUGGAGGAAUACCGGUGGCGAAGGCGGCAUCCUGGACCGGCAUUGACGCUGAUGAGCGAAAGCGUGGGGAGCGAACAGG